CAGUAGCCACGGGAACACGGAGGGUGCAAGCGUUAUCCGGAUUUAUUGGGUUUAAAGGGUCCGUAGGCGGAUCUGUAAGUCAGUGGUGAAAUCUCACAGCUUAACUGUGAAACUGCCAUUGAUACUGCAGGUCUUGAGUAAAUUUGAAGUGGCUGGAAUAAGUAGUGUAGCGGUGAAAUGCAUAGAUAUUACUUAGAACACCAAUUGCGAAGGCAGGUCACUAAGAUUUAACUGACGCUGAUGGACGAAAGCGUGGGGAGCGAACAGGAUUAGAUACCCCUGUAGUCCCUGUCUCUUAUAA
rnacentral:rRNA from 1 species